rnacentral:rRNA from 1 species
UGUUGUCGUCAGCUCGUGUCGUGAGAUGUUGGUUAAGUCCCGCAACCGAGCGCAACCCCUAUUGUUAGUUGCCAUCAUUCAGUUGGGCACUCUAGCGAGACUGCCGGUAAUAAACCGGAGGAAGGUGGGGAUGACGUCAAAUCAUCAUGCCCCCUAUGACCUGGGCUACACACGUGCUACAAUGGUUGGUACAACGAGUUGCGAGUCGGUGACGGCGAGCUAAUCUCUUAAAGCCAAUCUCAGUUCGGAUUGUAGGCUGCAACUCGCCUACAUGAAGUCGGAAUCGCUAGUAAUCGCGGAUCAGCACGCCGCGGUGAAUACGUUCCCGGGCCUU